rnacentral:rRNA from 1 species
UUAGAGUUUGANUCCUGGCUCAGGAUGAACGCUAGCGGCAGGCCUAACACAUGCAAGUCGAGGGGUAGAAAGAGCUUGCUUUUUUGAGACCGGCGCACGGGUGAGUAACGCGUAUGCAACCUACCUUAUACAGGGGAAUAGCCCGAAGAAAUUCGGAUUAAUGCUCCAUGGUUUAUCGAUAUGGCAUCGUAUUGAUAAUAAAGAUUUAUCGGUAUAAGAUGGGCAUGCGUAUCAUUAGCUAGUUGGUGUGGUAACGGCAUACCAAGGCAACGAUGAUUAGGGGUCCUGAGAGGGAGAUCCCCCACACUGGUACUGAGACACGGACCAGACUCCUACGGGAGGCAGCAGUGAGGAAUAUUGGUCAAUGGAGGCAACUCUGAACCAGCCAUGCCGCGUGCAGGAUGACGGUCCUAUGGAUUGUAAACUGCUUUUGUACAGGAAGAAACCUCCCUACGAGUAGGGACUUGACGGUACUGUAAGAAUAAGGAUCGGCUAACUCCGUGCCAGCAGCCGCGGUAAUACGGAGGAUCCGAGCGUUAUCCGGAAUUAUUGGGUUUAAAGGGUUCGUAGGCGGNNUNNUAAGUCAGUGGUGAAAUUUCCUAGCUUAACUAGGACACNGCCAUUGAUACUGCAGANCUUGAAUANUAUGGAAGUAACUAGAAUAUGUAGUGUAGCGGUGAAAUGCUUAGAUAUUACAUGGAAUACCAAUUGCGAAGGCAGGUUACCUACGUAUUUAUUGACGCUGAUGAACCGAAAGGCGUGGGAGCNA